AUUGAACGCUGGCGGCAGGCUUAACACAUGCAAGUCGAGCGGGGUGAUGGUGCUUGCACUAUCACUUAGCGGCGGACGGGUGAGUAAUGCUUAGGAAUCUGCCUAUUAGUGGGGGACAACAUCUCGAAAGGGAUGCUAAUACCGCAUACGUCCUACGGGAGAAAGCAGGGGAUCACUUGUGACCUUGCGCUAAUAGAUGAGCCUAAGUCGGGUUAGCUAGUUGGUGGGGUAAAGGUCUACCAAGGCGACGAUCUGUAGCGGGUCUGAGAGGUUGAUCCGCCACACUGGGACUGAGACACGGCCCAGACUCCUACGGGAGGCAGCAGUGGGGAAUAUUGGACAAUGGGGGGAACCCUGAUCCAGCCAUGCCGCGUGUGUGAAGAAGGCCUUAUGGUUGUAAAGCACUUUAAGCGAGGAGGAGGCUCUUUUGGUUAAUACCCAGAAUGAGUGGACGUUACUCGCAGAAUAAGCACCGGCUAACUCUGUGCCAGCCGCCGCCGUAA
rnacentral:rRNA from 1 species